rnacentral:rRNA from 1 species
GGACGAACGCUGGCGGCGUGCUUAACACAUGCAAGUCGAGCGGUAAGGCCCUUUCGGGGGUACACGAGCGGCGAACGGGUGAGUAACACGUGGGUGACCUGCCCUCAGCUCUGGGAUAAGCCUGGGAAACCGGGUCUAAUACCGGAUAUGACUCCAUGACGCAUGUUGUGGGGUGGAAAGCCUUGUGCGGCUGAGGAUGGGCCCGCGGCCUAUCAGCUUGUUGGUGGGGUGAUGGCCUACCAAGGCGACGACGGGUAGCCGGCCUGAGAGGGCGACCGGCCACACUGGGACUGAGAC